rnacentral:rRNA from 1 species
AAGAUUUAUCGGUAACCGAUGGGGAUGCGUUCCAUUAGGCAGUUGGGGGGUAACGGCCCACCAAACCGACGAUGGAUAGGGGUUCUGAGAGGAAGGUCCCCCACAUUGGAACUGAGACACGGUCCAAACUCCUACGGGAGGCAGCAGUGAGGAAUAUUGGUCAAUGGGCGAGAGCCUGAACCAGCCAAGUAGCGUGAAGGAUGACUGCCCUAUGGGUUGUAAACUUCUUUUAUGCGGGAAUAACAAGCGGCACGUGUGCCGUUCUGCAUGUACCGUAUGAAUAAGCAUCGGCUAACUCCGUGCCAGCAGCCGCGGUAAUACGGAGGAUGCGAGCGUUAUCCGGAUUUAUUGGGUUUAAAGGGAGCGCAGACGGGUCUUUAAGUCAGUUGUGAAAGUUUGCGGCUCAACGGUAAAAUUGCAGUUGAUACUGGAGACCUUGAGUGCGGUAUAGGCAGGCGGAAUUCGUGGUGUAGCGGUGAAAUGCUUAGAUAUCACGAAGGGGUCCGAGUG